GCGAGUUUAGCCCAGUGGUCAGGGUACCGCCUUCCCAACCUUCCAUUAUGGUAGUAGGCGGGGGUCAAGAGUUCGACUCUCUUAACUCGCA